rnacentral:rRNA from 1 species
GACGAACGCUGGCGGCGUGCUUAACACAUGCAAGUCGAACGGAAAGGCCCUGCUUUUGUGGGGUGCUCGAGUGGCGAAAGGGUGAGUAACACGUGAGUAACCUGCCCUUUACUUUGGGAUAACUUCAGGAAACUGGGGCUAAUACCGGAUAGGAGCUCCUGCUUCAUGGUGGGGGUUGGAAAGUUUCGGCGGUUGGGGAUGGACUCGCGGCUUUUCAGCUUGUUGGUGGGGUAGUGGCUUACCAAGGCUUUGACGGGUAGCCGGCUUGAGAGGGUGACCGGCCACAAUGGGACUGAGAUUAGGGCCAGGCUCCUACGGGGGGCAGGAGUGGGGAAUAUUGCACAAUGGGCCGAAGCCUGAUGCAGCAACGCCGCGUGCGGGAUGACGGCCUUCGGGUUGUAAACCGCUUUCGCCUGUGACGAAGCGUGAGUGACGGUAAUGGGUAAAGAAGCACCGGCUAACUACGUG